GGCCCUUCGGGGUACUCGAGCGGCGAACGGGUGAGUAACACGUGAGUAACCUGCCCCUGACUCUGGGAUAAGCCUGGGAAACCGGGUCUAAUACCGGAUAUGACACUCCUCCGCAUGGUGUGGGUGUGGAAAGUUUUUUCGGUUGGGGAUGGACUCGCGGCCUAUCAGCUUGUUGGUGGGGUGAUGGCCUACCAAGGCGACGACGGGUAGCCGGCCUGAGAGGGCGACCGGCCACACUGGGACUGAGACACGGCCCAGACUCCUACGGGAGGCAGCAGUGGGGAAUAUUGCGCAAUGGGCGAAAGCCUGACGCAGCGACGCCGCGUGGGGGAUGACGGCCUUCGGGUUGUAAACCUCUUUCAGCAGGGACGAAGUUGACGUGUACCUGUAGAAGAAGCGCCGGCUAACUACGUGCCAGCAGCCGCGGUAAUACGUAGGGCGCGAGCGUUGUCCGGAAUUAUUGGGCGUAAAGAGCUCGUAGGUGGCUUGUUGCGUCUGCCGUGAAAGCCCGUGGCUUAACUACGGGUCUGCGGUGGAUACGGGCAGGCUAGAGGCUGGUAGGGGCAAGCGGAAUUCCUGGUGUAGCGGUGAAAUGCGCAGAUAUCAGGAGGAACACCGGUGGCGAAGGCGGCUUGCUGGGCCAGUUCUGACGCUGAGGAGCGAAAGCUG
rnacentral:rRNA from 1 species